rnacentral:misc_RNA from 1 species
GCCGUGGUCUGUCCUCGGCUCGUCUGAAAUGCUUCAGUGUACCCCGCUUUGCGGCGUAUUCGGUGUGAUAACAUCUUCACCGGAGUUGAUCCUUUUGGGUCGCGUCUGUAAUGUGUGGCUCUAUGCUUCCAACCGUCCACCGGGUGGACAAUCUCUGACAAUUUGACCUCAAAUCGGGUGGGACUACCCGCUGAACUUAA